GCCAAUUAAUUUAACUUGGGAGUCAGAACAUGGGUGAUAAGGUCCGUGUUCGAAAGGGAAACAGCCCAGACCACCAGCUAAGGUCCCAAAAUAUAUGUUAAGUGGAAAAGGAUGUGGCGUUGCCCAGACAACUAGGAUGUUGGCUUAGAAGCAGCCAUCAUUUAAAGAGUGCGUAAUAGCUCACUAGUCGAGUGACACUGCGCCGAAAAUGUACCGGGGCUAAACAUAUUACCGAAGCUGUGGAUUGUCCUUUGGACAAUGGUAGGAGAGCGUUCUAAGGGCGUUGAAGCAUGAUCGUAAGGACAUGUGGAGCGCUUAGAAGUGAGAAUGCCGGUGUGAGUAGCGAAAGACGGGUGAGAAUCCCGUCCACCGAUUGACUAAGGUUUCCAGAGGAAGGCUCGUCCGCUCUGGGUUAGUCGGGUCCUAAGCUGAGGCCGACAGGCGUAGGCGAUGGAUAACAGGUUGAUAUUCCUGUACCACCUAUAAUCGUU
rnacentral:rRNA from 1 species